CGAUUAACGAACUCACAUGGAUGAAAGGUAAAUCCAAACCCUACAAAACUUGCUGUCAAUACUCUCUGAAAUCAGUGACAAGUUUAACCGCAAACUACACUGUUACACACGCCUCUCUUCUCCCUUACGGCCUUUCAUCAGCUUCCGGUACUCCCACUGUUAACUGCAAAAAACACCGCCACUGCUUAUACCUUAAACUCAACUCUGCUGAAAAAUUUAAACAAACCUUUUGCUUCUUCUUCUGCUUCUCCCACUUUCAAGUCUCCGCAAGAUGACUCGUCCCAAAGCCAAAUCCAAGAAAAAGAGCGGCGUCGUUGAUUUUAAGAAAAGAAAGGUUAAGAUUGGAAGGAAAUUGCCACCGCCUAAGAAUGCAACAAAUACCGAAGUUAAAUCUAAAGCAAUUAUUCUUCCGGAGCAGAGUGUAGCAGCUGAUAAGGCAGGUUUAGCCGUAAACAAGAAAGGUUUGACUUUAAAAGAACUUCUUAGUCAAACAUCUCAUCACAAUGCAAAAGUUCGAAGAGAUGCAUUGAUGGGUAUUAAGGAUUUAUUCAGUAAACAUCCAGAAGAACUGAUGUUGCAUAAGUAUCGUGUUGUAGAAAAACUUCGCGAGCGCAUUGGCGAUGAUGAUAAAGUGGUUCGCAGAUCAUUAUAUGAUCUUUUUAAACUAGUGAUUUUACCUAGUUGCAAAGAGGAUAAUCAAGAGCUGAUCACUUCUUUAUUGAUGGCUUACAUAUUUAAUGCAAUGACACAUUUGGCAGCUGACAUUCGGUUCAUGGCAUUUGAUUUCUUAGACCUUACUCUUGAAUAUUAUCCUCCUUGCUUUUCUUCUUAUGCAGAAAAGAUUUUUCAGAAUUAUGAGGAUAUCCUAAGGAAGAACCAGUACCAUUUACAGGACAAAGAAAAACUAAAGGAUGCUCUUACCGGAUUGGUUCGCUGCCUGUCACUCUUGCCAUGGAACAUAGAAGAACCUGAUUUGCAAAAUAAGGAUGAUAUUGGACAAAGAGUAUUGCAUGCUUUUGAAGCUGAUAACUCUAUGAGCUCUACUGGUUUUUCUCAUAUCAUAAUGAAACUGAAGGAUCUAGUGCCAGUAUUAGUAAAUAGUUUUCAGGAAUUUACUACAUUGUUUAAUGCUAGGGAGAAUCUUGAAGGGAAGUCUUUUGGCUGUAUGGCAUCAAUUCUUCAUAGCAUAGAUCUUAUAGUCAGGUCCUUCGUUUAUGGGAUUGAUAAGAAGUCGGAAUGCACAAGUUCUCAAGGUGGAGGCGAUGUGGCUGUAUGGGAUGUAUCUGUAUCUUCCACAUUCUUGAAGAAAUUAUUUCCUCUUUUCCCCCUUGAUCCAGGGCAUGGUCUUUCACAAAAGGAUGAUGGUAGAUUGCUUGAUUUGAACAUGAUGAUUGCAAAAAUAUUUUAUGAAUUAAAUGAAUGGAUCUGCCUUCCUCCUUUUUUGUUGGAGAAAUUUCUAGAAUUUCUUGAAAAUGCACUUCUUGGGAAGUUUGGCUCGACUGCUCAGUCUGGUAAGACUGUCUGGGAAAAACAUUUAGUUCAACUCAUUCCAUUUAUUCCGAAAUUUAUUUCACGUGGAGCAAGCGUCUGGACGUCUCGUCUUCUUUGGGCAUUUACCCAUACAUUCAAGGAAAGCAAGCCAAGUUCCUUAUUAAAACUGGCAUGUCUCUCUGCAAUGGAAGAUAUGCUAACUUCUAUCCAAAAAAUGCUUUCCCCGGAGACAAACAAUCUAGGAAAUGUAGAACUUCAAGAAGCUUUGUGUGCAUGGAUCACAGAGCUUCCUGUGUUGCUUAUCCAGCUUGGUGAUAAACACCCAACAUGCUCCUCGGCUUUAGUAAGGCUUCAGCUUCGUAUCGGACAACGUGCUUUGUUGAACUCGGCACUUGUUUGCGUUUAUGACAACAUGCAAAAUUCGUUGCAAGAAUUUUAUUCUACGUGUCAAGGAGAAAAUAUAUGCUAUGGUCCUUUUCUCAGACUUCCUAGAGAAUCUCAAGAGCUCUCAUUAUGCUGCCUUUACUAUUUCUCUCAUUUGGACUUGCCUUUUUUGAAGUCAUUAGCUGGCUGUUGCCUAAGUCCUGAUCUAGAUCCCUAUGUGUUAUUUCGGACCAUAGAGAUUCUCAAUUCAGCCUAUAAAGAUGGACAUAUAAAUAUUGCAGAUUACUUGAGUGUCUUCAUCACCUUGGCCUUGCGUUUCAAAGUUUCAUCCGAAGUUGAUGCUGCUGGUUUGAAGGGUGAUGCACUCUGCAAUACUUUGAAGUCAGUGACAUCCGUUCUUUGCUCAUACAUGGAACAGAUCGGCAAUAAUUCUCUUGUUCUACAGAUUAUAGAGAAAGUGAUAAUUGAUCAAAUACUGCUAAAGCCUUCUUUGGAUAAUAGUUGUUCUCUCCUAAGAAUGCUUGUUACGGUGGAUUCCAAACCCACAAGACUUUCUGAACAAAGCAUUAUCACUCUUGGCCCUUGUCUUUCUGAAUAUAUAAUGGAUGCUGUGCAGCACAUUCCGGAAGAUGGUGAGGAGCAGCGCAUUUCCACCAAUUGUUUAAGUACCAUUUAUUAUCUCCUACCUUGUUUUUUCUUGUUUGAUCGGUGCCAUAAACUUAUGGGUUAUGUAUUGAAGACAAUGGAAUCAGCUAUAACUGAAAGUAGUUUGUCACUGGAAAAUGGUAAUGGCACUCAACAUAUGGGGAACUGCUUGACUAGGGUAAACACUGUUGCAUCUGUACUUGUGUUGAUGCACAAGGAUGCAAAAUUGCAAGGAAUUAUGUCUGAAUUCAAGGAAGAUAUUGAUAGCAUCAUACAAAAAGUUCGUUUCUUACAGUCUUCAAGGCAAAUUAGUCUGACAAUUGAAGAAAGGCCUAAAGUACAACUCACACUUGAUCAAUUGAAUAUUUUAACAAGAUAACAAUGGUCAAGAAGGGUGUUUUUGAGCGAGAAACUUGUACACACAUUGUGGCAUAGAAGCAAUUCCUCUAUUGUCAUAUUGACAGGUUGAUAUGGUGGAACUUGGGAACUGUUUUAUGAAUCUCAGUGGAGUAUUCAUGUAAUUGUUAACAUCUAACCUUUUCCGGAGUUUAUUCUGCAAGCAAUUUUGAGGUCUGCUAACGGCGGUUUGUUAUACGGUCAUGAAAUAUAAAUUUUGCCCCUUUCUGCAAGCAAUUUCAAGGUCUGCUAACAGCGGUUUGCUAUAUGGUCGAGAAAUAGAAAUUUUGCCCCUAUAGUCAGUAACUAUGUAUAGUUCCAUCAGUUAGCCUCUGAUGAUGAGCGUCUGUGAUCUUCCACUUAACAUGCCAUUAUUUGCGUUAUGUUUAUUGCCCAUAGUUAAGUGAUAUGGAUAUUUUGUUUUGCAUGCAUAUUUGUUCAAGGUUUGAUUAAUGAGUUCGCAGUGUCAAUAUGCAUUUUUAAGUCAAGUUGGCCAA